rnacentral:rRNA from 1 species
UACGGAGGGGACUAGCGUUGUUCGGAAUUACUGGGCGUAAAGCGCACGUAGGCGGAUUUGUAAGUCAGGGGUGAAAUCCCGAGGCUCAACCUCGGAACUGCCUUUGAUACUGCAAAUCUCGAGUCCGGAAGAGGUGAGUGGAAUUCCUAGUGUAGAGGUGAAAUUCGUAGAUAUUAGGAAGAACACCAGUGGCGAAGGCGGCUCACUGGUCCGGUACUGACGCUGAGGAGCGAAAGCCAGGGGAGCAAACGGG